AGAAUCAACGCUGGCGGCGCGCUUAACACAUGCAAGUCGCACGAGAAAGUGGAGCAAUCCAUGAGUAAAGUGGCGUACGGGUGAGUAACACGUGGAUAAUCUACCUUCUAGUGGGGAAUAACCCUGGGAAACCGGGGCUAAUACCGCAUAAGCUCGUGAGAGGAAAGCAGCAAUGCGCUGGAAGAGGAGUCCGCGGCUGAUUAGCUAGUUGGCGGGUAACGCCACAAGGCGAAGAUCGGUAGCCGGCCUGAGAGGGCACACGGCCACACUGGCACUGAAACACGGGCCAGACUCCUACGGGAGGCAGCAGUGGGGAAUCUUGCACAAUGGAGGAAACUCUGAUGCAGCGACGCCGCGUGAGCGAUGAAGCCCUUCGGGUGUAAAGCUCUUUCGACGGGAACGAUAAUGACGGUACCCGAAGAAGAAGCUGCGGCUAACUACGCGCCAGCAGCCGC
rnacentral:rRNA from 1 species